GCCAGUCCCUCCACAGCACGUUGAGUUGGGUGGGGAACAGGCUAACCCUCCGAUCCCCCUGUCAGUUGAGGCUGCUCUGAACUCAACAUACUGCAAUCCCUGGCAUAUAUGUAAAUACUGUGCCCAAGAGCAACACACUCCAGUGCAGUAAGCACUGGAGUUUAUUGCAUCACAUUAAUAUGCAAGUGUGGACAAACAGCAUACUCAUAAUAACAUGAAGUUAACCAUCUAAGUGGUUCCUCUUUUCACGUGGGUUUUGCAGCUCAAUGAAUUCUAUGCCGUUGUGGCUACAUUGCUAGCAGUACCUAAGCCAGCUAACUUAAAGCUAGAUUCUUAUAUGCCUGCAUAAGAUACAGCUACAACUGUGGCUGGAGUGCAGGCAAAUCUUGCGAGUCAGAGAGAAGAGGCUGUGCAGUGGAAGCAGUUCAGGAUGAACUCAACAGGACUGGAACAUCAGGCCCUCAUUUAUGAGCUUCAUGAGCCAGCAUGGUAAAGCAGAAGCCCUCAUUUGCUUCUGUCAGAUCCCUACUUUGCAGAUGAUGUCUUUGGAAACCACAAUCCUCUAGCUGAAGCAUAUGGACAGCAGCAGUGAUGGCUUCCCUAACACUGUCCAGCCCCUGGUCCCUAGAAGACCACUACAAAGGACAAGAAUACUGAUUAGCUUCCACACUCAACCUGUCUUUGGCUUCUUUGCUGCCAGU